rfam:Sus scrofa isolate TJ Tabasco breed Duroc chromosome 1, whole genome shotgun sequence.
GUCUGUAGCCACAUCACCCAGAAUGCACCCAAUCUUGUCUAAUCUUGGAAGCUAAGCAGGGUCAGGCCUGGUUAGUACUUGGAUGGGAGAAAUACUAGAGAAAAUGCUUAAAAGCAGAAA